rnacentral:tRNA from 1 species
GCGAAGUUAGCUCAGCGGUAGAGCAGCGGAUAUUUAAUCCGCAGGUCGUGGGUUCGAUUCCCACACUUUGCA